rnacentral:rRNA from 1 species
CCUACGGGAGGCAGCAGUGGGGGAUAUUGCACAAUGGGGGGAACCCUGAUGCAGCGACGCCGCGUGGGUGAAGAAGCGCCUCGGCGCGUAAAGCCCUGUCAGCAGGGAAGAAAAUGACGGUACCUGAAGAAGAAGCCCCGGCUCACUACGUGCCAGCAGCCGCGGGAAUACGUAGGGGGCAAGCGUUAUCCGGAUUUACUGGGUGUAAAGGGGGCGCAGACGGCGAUGCAAGCCAGGAGUGAAAGCCCGGGGCCCAAGCCCGGGACUGCUCUUGGAACUGCGUGGCUGGAGUGCAGGAGGGGCAGGCGGAAUUCCUGGUGUAGCGGUGAAAUGCGUAGAUAUCAGGAGGAACACCGGUGGCGAAGGCGGCCUGCUGGACUGCAACUGACGUUGAGGCCCGAAAGCGUGGGGAGCAAACAGGAUUAGAUACCCCUGUAGUC